UAGUCAUAUGCUUGUCUCAAAGAUUAAGCCAUGCAUGUCUAAGUAUAAACAAUUUUAUACUGUGAAACUGCGAAUGGCUCAUUAAAUCAGUCAUCGUUUAUUUGAUAGUACCUUACUACUUGGAUAACCGUAGUAAAUCUAGAGCUAAUACAUGCUACCAAACCCGACUUCUCGGAAGGGUUGUAUUUAUUAGAUACAAAACCAAUGCGGGGGAGCAAUCUCCCGGUAUUGUGGUGAUUCAUAAUAACUUCGCGAAUCGAAUGGCUUUACGCCGUCG
rnacentral:rRNA from 1 species